rnacentral:tRNA from 1 species
GGAGAUGUAGCUCAGUGGCAGAGUGCUUGGCUAAUGAGUGUGAGGUCUUGGGUUCAAUCCCCAACACCCCCC